UACGUAGGCAGCGAGCGUUGUUCGGAGUUACUGGGCGUAAAGGGUGCGUAGGCGGUCUGCUAAGUUUGAUGUGAAAUCCCGGGGCUCAACCCUGGAAUGGCAUUGAAUACUGGUGGACUAGAGUACUGGAGAGGAAACUGGAAUUUACGGUGUAGCAGUGAAAUGCGUAGAGAUCGUAAGGAAGACCAGUGGCGAAGGCGAGUUUCUGGACAGUAACUGACGCUGAGGCACGAAGGCCAGGGGAGCAAACGGG
rnacentral:rRNA from 1 species